rnacentral:rRNA from 1 species
UGAACGCUGGCGGCGUGCCUAAUACAUGCAAGUCGAGCGAACAGACGCGGAGCUUGCUCCUCUGACGUUAGCGGCGGACGGGUGAGUAACACGUGGAUAACCUACCUAUAAGACUGGGAUAACUUCGGGAAACCGGAGCUAAUACCGGAUAAUAUAUUGAACCGCAUGGUUCAAUAGUGAAAGACGGUUUUGCUGUCACUUAUAGAUGGAUCCGCGCCGCAUUAGCUAGUUGGUAAGGUAACGGCUUACCAAGGCAACGAUGCGUAGCCGACCUGAGAGGGUGAUCGGCCACACUGGAACUGAGACACGGUCCAGACUCCUACGGGAGGCAGCAGUAGGGAAUCUUCCGCAAUGGGCGAAAGCCUGACGGAGCAACGCCGCGUGAGUGAUGAAGGUCUUCGGAUCGUAAAACUCUGUUAUUAGGGAAGAACAAAUGUGUAAGUAACUAUGCACGUCUUGACGGGACCUAAUCAGAAAGCCACGGCUAACUACGU